GACGAACGCUGGCGGCGUGCUUAACACAUGCAAGUCGAACGGAAAGGCCCUGCUUUUGUGGGGUGCUCGAGUGGCGAACGGGUGAGUAACACGUGAGUAACCUGCCCUUGACUUUGGGAUAACUUCAGGAAACUGGGGCUAAUACCGGAUAGGAGCUCCUGCUGCAUGGUGGGGGUUGGAAAGUUUCGGCGGUUGGGGAUGGACUCGCGGCUUAUCAGCUUGGUGGUGGGGUAGUGGCUUACCAAGGCUUUGACGGGUAGCCGGCCUGAGAGGGUGACCGGCCACAUUGGGACUGAGAUACGGCCCAGACUCCUACGGGAGGCAGCAGUGGGGAAUAUUGCACAAUGGGCGGAAGCCUGAUGCAGCAACGCCGCGUGCGGGAUGACGGCCAUCGGGUUGUAAACCGCUUUCGCCUGUGACGAAGCGUGAGUGACGGUAAUGGGUAAAGAAGCACCGGCUAACUACGUG
rnacentral:rRNA from 1 species